rnacentral:rRNA from 1 species
GCAUAUCGAUAAGCGGAGGAAAAGAACCCAACAGGGAUUGCCCUAGUAACGGCGAGUGAAGCGGCAACAGCUCAAAUUUGAAAUCUGGCUUUCGGGCCCGAGUUGUAAUUUGUAGAGGAUGAUUUUGAUGCGGUGCCUUCCGAGUUCCCUGGAACGGGACGCCAUAGAGGGUGAGAGCCCCGUCUGGUUGGAUGCCAAAUCUCUGUAAAUCUCCUUCGACGAGUCGAGUAGUUUGGGAAUGCUGCUCUAAAUGGGAGGUAUAUGUCUUCUAAAGCUAAAUACCGGCCAGAGACCGAUAGCGCACAAGUAGAGUGAUCGAAAGAUGAAAAGCACUUUGAAAAGAGAGUUAAAAAGUACGUGAAAUUGUUGAAAGGGAAGCGUUUAUGACCAGACUUGGGCUUGGUUAAUCAUCUGGGGUUCUCUCCAGUGCACUUUUCCAGUCCAGGCCAGCAUCAGUUUUCGCCGGGGGAUAAAGGCUUCGGGAAUGUGGCUCCCCUCGGGGAGUGUUAUAGCCCGUUGUGUAAUACCCUGGUGGGGACUGAGGUUCGCGCUUCUGCAAGGAUGCUGGCGUAAUGGUCAUCAACGACCCGUCUUGAAACACGGACCAAGGAGUCGUCUUCGUAUGCGAGUGUUCGGGUGUCAAACCCCUACGCGUAAUGAAAGUGAACGCAGGUGAGAGCUUCGGCGCAUCAUCGACCGAUCCUGAUGUUCUCGGAUGGAUUUGAGUAAGAGCAUACGGGGCCGGACCCGAAAGAAGGUGAACUAUGCCUGUGUAGGGUGAAGCCAGAGGAAACUCUGGUGGAGGCUCGCAGCGGUUCUGACGUGCAAAUCGAUCGUCAAACAUGGGCAUGGGGGCGAAAGACUAAUCGAACCUUCUAGUAGCUGGUUUCCGCCGAG